rnacentral:lncRNA from 1 species
GAAAUGGUUACCCACUACCAUCAUCACUACCACCACCACCGCCAUCACUUCCCACAGGACUGCUACCCCAAUCGUGGUAGUAUUGUCUAGGUAUGCCAUGGUGGUUUUCUACAUGGUUGCUUUCUGGGUGCCCCCCCACUUUUCUACUUUCCUUCUCAUCAUGUUUUCCCUGCUCCUCCCCAUCCAUUUCACCCCUACCACCUCCACCCGAAGCUGCCAAGCGGCAGCACAGCAUUAAAAUAAACGACACUGCUAUGAUCUUCAUUGAAACACCACGAGGAGACUGUAAACGCUCGGUUUCUG